UACGUAGGCAGCAAGCGUUGUUCGGAGUUACUGGGCGUAAAGGGUGUGUAGGCGGUUCUUUAAGUUUGGUGUGAAAUCUCCCGGCUUAACCGGGAGGGUGCGCCGAAUACUGAGGGACUAGAGUACGGGAGAGGAAAGUGGAAUUCCUGGUGUAGCGGUGAAAUGCGUAGAUAUCAGGAGGAACACCGGUGGUGUAGACGGCUUUCUGGACCGUAACUGACGCUGAGACACGAAAGCGUGGGUAGCAAACGGG
rnacentral:rRNA from 1 species